UAACACGACGUAUGUUAAGGAGUCUGCAAACCCUUGAUUUAAGGUACAAAAUGAAGCUUGAAAUAAUGACCAGGCUGAUUCUCUUGGCCCUUGCAGCUACUUGCUAUGGAAAACUAGCUUACCGCCACGUUGGCUGCUACAACGAACAAGAGCGUUCCUUCCCGAAAUAUCUCGGCCAUAAAGAGAAGUGGGCAUGCGCGGCAACAGCUUUACUAAAAGGGUACAAGGCCUUUGCGCUUCAAAAUGGGAAAGAGUGCUGGACAGGACCUAACUCUCACAUCAGCUACAACAAAUAUGGCGUUUCCACAAGCUGUAAGAAAGGAAAGGGAGGCAAUAUGUCAAAUGAUGUUUACAUUAUUGGUGGUUUUUCGACUAAGAAAACCAGAUGCGGUGAAAAGGACUUCGUCGGUCUUCGUCCCAAUAAUGCAAUCAAAAACUGCAAAACUCAGAAAGCAAAGAAACCCCACUCUCAAUCAGGGAUAUAUUGGAUGAACCCUAAUGGACAAAAGGCUUUCCAAGGAUAUUGUGACAUGGAUACUGCUGGUGGAGGAUGGACGCUGGUUUACAGUUACACUUUUACUAAUUAUAAGUCGUUCUUCACAUCAGGUAGUAAUGCUGUUACUCCUCAGCCCGACUGGCCAUUUUCAGGUCGUACCAACACCCGAAGAUCUACGGAACCACCUCUAAGCAAGACCCAUUACGCGGCCAUGCACUUCAAACUGUGGAAGACGAUUGGCUCUGAGUUUAUGAUUAAAUCCAACAUCAACCACUGGAUCAAAUUAUACUGAAGGCUCAGGUAGUUUGGUAAAAUUUAARACUGGCACUAUUAACUGCAAGGUAGUUAAGAAUAUUGUGGCCAAAUGCCAGAAUGUUGCACCCGACUAUUUCGUAAUAAAGGCUGGGAACCAUGGACCAUAUUUGAGUCGUAAAUCAGGAAGCUUGUAUUAUUAUUAUGAUGCCUACACAAAGAGCAACGCUCCGACCCAUGACCCUUGCGGUACCAACAAAGGAAACCAGUUGAAUGGUGUGGACAACCCCCAUGGUAACAUCUAUAUUCGUUAAAAACUGAGAGAUAAAUGCUUUAUCAUAAGUGCAUACAUUAAAAAUUAAUGGGCAAACACUAAGGUUAAUAUGAAGAAAGUUAAUACUAUUCUGUAUCCACUUAUUAUCAAUAAAGUUUAAUCUUGUUACCGCAUGUUUUAUGUAGUGCAUUUUACUAGUAUAUAGAGGA